ACUCAAGAUUUCACUUACACGUUCACUCAUAUAUGCUACUUCUACUCCGGAAGUACCAUCCACAUAUAUCCAUCCAUUUCCAUCUCCAGAAUCACCAAAAAAAAUAUUCUACUCCUAAUCCGCGAGAGAAUAACCAAAAAUAUUUCUGUUUUUCCCUUAUGAAAUAAAUGCUCAAGUUAUCUUGUUACUACCACUUGCUAUAUUAUCUCAAGAGAUGAGUGCUUUAACAAAAAGAAAUAAAAUACGAGGAAAUAAAAAGGAGCAAGUGCUCGGAACCUCGAAAGAAAAGAAAAAGUGAGACGAGAGGUAAAAAUGGACAAGUGUCCGACAGUAGAAUUAGGGGUACAAGAUACCCACCUGAGAGAAAAGAAAAAAAGAUAGAGCAUCUCAUUCUCCUCAUAAAGUUUCAAAAAGAAAGGAAGGUAUGUAUCCCCUCAAAGAGCAAAAGUGGAAAUAGACUUCCACCAUUGUUAUCACCAUCACCACCAUACACCAUUCAUUCGCCACACAUGCACAUCUUGAUUUGGCUUAUUGGCUUGUUUCUUUGGAUCCAUGGUUUGACUAUGCAAUACAUGUCUUGUAAGUAUGUAUACUUUAUCUCCCACCUAUGAGCUCCAGAUAUUAAAGCCUUAUUAGAGUAAGGUGAGAGAGAAGGCAAUGUCACUAUGCUUUAUACCACAAAUACCACAUAUCUUGAGAGAAGGCAUAUACCAUCGCUGCCUUGGUAAGGAUCCAG
rnacentral:lncRNA from 1 species